GGUUGUGGCUCAGCGAUAGAGUACUUGCCUAGCAUGUGCAAGGUCCUGGGUUCGAUCCUCAGCACCA
rnacentral:tRNA from 1 species